UACGGAGGGUGCUAGCGUUGUUCGGAAUCACUGGGCGUAAAGCGCGUGUAGGCGGUCCGUUAAGUCUGAUGUGAAAGCCCGGGGCUCACCCCCGGAAGUGCAUUGGAAACUGACGAACUCGAGUCCCGGAGAGGAGGGUGGAAUUCCUGGUGUAGCGGUGAAAUGCGUAGAUAUCAGGAGGAACACCGGUGGCGAAGGCGGCCCCCUGGACGGUGACUGACGCUGAGACACGAAGGCCAGGGGAGCAAACGGG
rnacentral:rRNA from 1 species